rnacentral:rRNA from 1 species
CACUCCUGUCGGGGUUCGACAUGUAGUCUGCGUCCAUCCUCGAGGGGAACAUUUCUGGCAUUAAGUUGUUGGGAUUGGGAUCCUCGUCAUUUACUGUGAGCAAAAUAGAGUGUUCAAAGCAGGCUUAGGCCGUUGAAUAUAUUAGCAUGGAAUAAUAAGAUAAGACCUUGGUCUAUUUUGUUGGUUAGUACUCCAAGGUAAUGAUAAAUAGGGAUAGUUGGGGGUAUUCGUAUUCAAUUGUCAGAGGUGAAAUUCUUGGAUUUAUGGAAGACGAACUACUGCGAAAGCAUUUACCAAGGAUGUUUUCAUUAAUCAAGAACGAAAGUUAGGGGAUCGAAGAUGAUUAGAUACCAUCGUAGUCUUAACCAUAAACUAUGCCGACUAGAGAUCGGUGGAUGUUUGUAAUGACUCCAUCGGCAUCUUAUGAGAAAUCAAAGUCUUUGGGUUCCGGGGGGAGUAUGGUCGCAAGGCUGAAACUUAAAGAAAUUGACG